GUCACAUUUAGUUAUAACGUGAAGUAAAAUACCGCUCGACUCAAAAAGGAUUAUCGCUACUGAUGCGGCCUCCCCUUACCAUGGGGAAGCGCUGCAGGCGAGCAAAGAAAAAGCAAGGGGGAGGACGUAAUUUCGUUUCAUGCAAACAUUAAGUGGGAAUAAAAAUCAUGGCAAACAAAAUGGCGGAUUUAGAAUGAAAAGUACUGAUUUAGGAACCAACUUUUGCCUGGAACGAACUUGAGCCCAGAAAAGUAUCCAUCGAAUACCACGUGAACAGAGGCAUGAAAAAUUAAUUUCUCGUGGAUGUGAGAAAAAGUGCAGUGAGUCUCGGAGAGCGAAAUAAUGGAAAUUCAGUCAGUACAGGGGUUCACGGGUAUGUGACAAUUAAAAUGAAUGCUGAAAGCGACGAAUUAGAUGAAGACAUAGGAAUAUAAGAUGCUUUGCCAGAAAAUACUCAAGAAACUGACACAUUGGAAAACUUAAGUGCCACAAUAGAGCGUUUAAAGGCCUUGUUUAAGUCAUCUAUAAGUGACCUCCCCCAUCCGUGUAUAGUAAAUAACUUCUGUGUUUUGAUCUUUAUCUGUAUUGCUGUCUGCUGUCUAUCAGUUCUCAGAUCUGAGUGACUUAGAUGUUGUUGUUGUUUUUUUUCCAGUUUAAUAGUUUAUUAGAGAGCAUGGAUAUCACUUUGUAUUAUUAUUUUAAUAUAAGAUAGAAAACAAAUGUCCACAUACAUUAGAACUACUAUAUAUGUAUAUAUCUAUGCUUAAUAACAUAUUUUCAGUAGUUUGAGACAAUAUGAAAUGAUAUCACUAAUUUAAAAAAGUUGUAAUUAAAUAUGAUUCAUAAUCUCAAUCAGUAUGACAAUCAAUUUCAAAGUGGUUUAAUGAUAAAAAAUUGACAGAUCCAACCUUAAACAUAUAGUUUAAAUCAUAACUAUUAUUCAUAAUUCAGCAAAUGUGUAAUUUAACAAUGAACAAAGUUUUAUGAUCAAACAAUCAUGCAAAAUUAAUAUGAAGAGUUCUUGUACAACUGAAGUAUUUUUAUUUCACAGAAUCUUAGUCACACACUUCGUCAGUAGAUGCUUUAUAGACAAUUACAUUUAGUAAUGAAAAUCGGAUGUACAAACAAUGGUAUGGUUUGAAACUCUUAUUCAUUACAACCGGUACUACUUAACGUCACUUAGAGCUUCUAAGAAUUACUUAGAGAUACAUAAAAAGCACUAUGAAAUGUAACAAUGUAGGGAAAUUAACUAUAAUGACAAUACUUAAAAUCGCUAAGGAAGUUUAUUCUCAAGAUGUUUCGUAUAUUUUCGUAUUAAUGGCAAGGUCGUAUAUGAGAGCUUCGACCAUUAGUUGUCACAAGGUUAUUGAUAAAAAAAGAAUCUCGAUCAUAAUCAUAAAGAUACACAUGUACAUGUAAAAGUUUGACAUUUAAGGCAUCUGGAAGGAUGUGGGUCGAUUAUUACUCGUAAAAAUGCAAAAAAGUUUAUAUAUUGCUUUGAUUUCUUGUGUUUAUUUUAUUUGUAACUGAUAAGUAUAAGCGCUAAAGUUAAUAUAAUGUUAUGAGGUAAUGUAAAAGGAAUUACAGGAUUGAACAAAUGAUCUUGUCUUAAAGUGUUUUUUUUUUGUUUUUUUUUUACUUUUUCAAAUUAUAAUACAACUAUUAUUAUCAUUAUUAUUAUUAUUAUUAUUAUUAUUAUUAUUAUUAUUAUUAUUAUUAUUAUUACAAUGCUUUAGAAUAAAAAUAAAAGUAAUGUUAUAUUCAAUACAUGUAUAUAAAAACCCAUUAAUAUGAUUUAACCAUGAUGCUUGACAAUUUGGAUAUUACAAUGGUGACCAUGUAUUUAAAGUGGAUUCAAAUAUAUCCGUUAUAUAACUAUUAAAACACGUAUAACUCUUA